UUUAAAUGUAAAAAUUUUGCUAAAGUAGUAAUAGUUAUGUUCUUUAAAUUUAAAGAUUUUGGCGGUAUUUUAGUCUAUUCAGAGGAACCUGUUCUAUAAUUGAUAGUCCACGAUUAAUUUUACUUAAUUUAUAAAUUUGUAUAUCGUCGUUUUUAAAUGAUUUUAUAAGAAUUUAAAUUUUUAAUAUUUUAUAUUAAAAUUUAUAUCAGAUCAAGGUGCAGUAGAUAAUUAAGUAGAAAUGGGUUACAAUAAAUUUAUUUAAAUGGAUUUUAAUAUUAAAUUAUUUUUUGAAAGUGGAUUUGAUAGUAAUAAAAAUUAAAUUUUAAUUUUUAUGAUUUUAGCUCUAAAAUAUGU
rnacentral:rRNA from 1 species